rnacentral:rRNA from 1 species
CCUAUAAGACUGGGAUAACUUCGGGAAACCGGGGCUAAUGCCGGAUAAUAUUUAGAACCGCAUGGUUCUAAAGUGAAAGAUGGUUUUACUAUCACUUAUAGAUGGACCCGCGCCGUAUUAGCUAGUUGGUGGGGUAAUGGCUUACCAAGGCAACGAUACGUAGCCGACCUGAGAGGGUGAUCGGCCACACUGGAACUGAGACACGGUCCAGACUCCUACGGGAGGCAGCAGUAGGGAAUCUUCCGCAAUGGGCGAAAGCCUGACGGAGCAACGCCGCGUGAGUGAUGAAGGUCUCCGGAUCGUAAAACUCUGUUAUUAGGGAAGAACAAAUGUGUAAGUAACGGUGCACGUCUUGACGGUACCUAAUCAGAAAGCCACGGCUAACUACGUGCCAGCAGCCGCGGUAAUACGUAGGUGGCAAGCGUUAUCCGGAAUUAUUGGGCGUAAAGCGCGCGUAGGCGGUUUCUUAAGUCUGAUGUGAAAGCCCACGGCUCAACCGUGGAGGGUCAUUGGAAACUGGGAAACUUGAGUGCAGAAGAGGAAAGUGGAAUUCCAUGUGUAGCGGUGAAAUGCGCAGAGAUAUGGAGGAACACCAGUGGCGAAGGCGACUUUCUGGUCUGUAACUGACGCUGAUGUGCGAAAGCGUGGGGAUCAAACAGGAUUAGAUACCCUGGUAGUCCACGCCGUAAACGAUGAGUGCUAAGUGCUAGGGGGUUUCCGCCCCUUAGUGCUGCAGCUAACGCAUUAAGCACUCCGCCUGGGGAGUACGACCGCAAGGUUGAAACUCAA